rnacentral:lncRNA from 1 species
UUUCCCCGUAACCAGGGAGACUGCAGUUUGCAGUGAUGUGGCUAAGAUACCCUUGUGCUAUUAAAGGCACAUUUACGUAUCUUUCAACGCAGUUUGUACCUUUGUUUAGGGUUCUAUUGAACUUUCUCUGUGCUCUUUAGAAAACCGUCGAAUAAAGAACUCAAAUGAUGCUGUUUUUGGACAGGGAGGUCAUGGACCAAGUACAAAGCGGCAAAAGGAUGGAAUUAAGGGAUAUUUCCAGUGAAAGAAAGAAGAAAGCAUGCUUUUCUCUUGACUGUGCAGAAAAAAAAACUAUGUUUCUUUGAUUCUCCAUUUUACUAGAUGCCAUACCUUUGCAAUUACUUCAUGUGGAGUCUUGACCAAGAUUCAGGAAAUACUAGAACUUUCAGUCCCAGAAGGUUACUCUGGGCAUUACUAGUCCCCAUCAUUAUGAGUUGAGUUUUACUAGUUAAUUUCAGACGAAAAAUAUUUGUUUUUCCCCAAAUUCUGGGGUUACGUACUUUUACUACCUAUGAACUGACAACUGUAUCUUCAGUAAUUACAAUUUCCAACAAAAUGUUAUAGGAAUAAAGAAAAGAUGUUAGUUCAUUAUUCAGAGUUUAUGUUUAUUCCUUUAAUAAAAAGAAAUGGUCUGUAUUUCUUCUUUUCACAUUUAUUUCCUCAGUUCAAACCUGCUUUUCAGG